rnacentral:rRNA from 1 species
CCUACGGGUGGCAGCAGUGGGGAAUAUUGGGCAAUGGGCGCAAGCCUGACCCAGCAACGCCGCGUGAAGGAAGAAGGCUUUCGGGUUGUAAACUUCUUUUCUGAGGGACGAAGAAAGUGACGGUACCUCAGGAAUAAGCCACGGCUAACUACGGGCCAGCAGCCGCGGUAAGACGUGGGUUGCAAGCGUUAUCCGGAUUUAUUGGUUGUAAAGGGUGUGGAGGCGGGAAAGCAAGUCAGAUGUGAAAACUCUGGGCUCAACCCUGAGCCUGCAGUUGAAACUGGUUUUCUUGAGUGCUGGAGAGGUAAUCGGAAUGCCGGGUGUAGCGGUGAAAUGCGUAGAUAUACGGAGGAACACCAGUGGCGAAGGCGGAUUGCUGGACAGUAACUGACGCUGAGGCGCGAAAGCGUGGGGAGCAAACAGGAUUAGAUACCCGGGUAGUC